UACAGAGGUCUCAAGCGUUGUUCGGAUUCAUUGGGCGUAAAGGGUGCGUAGGUGGCGCUGUAAGUCGGGUGUGAAAUUUCGGAGCUUAACUCCGAAACUGCAUUCGAUACUGCGGUGCUUGAGGACUGGAGAGGAGACUGGAAUUCAUGGUGUAGCAGUGAAAUGCAUAGAGAUCAUGAGGAAGACCAGUGGCGAAGGCGGGUCUCUGGACAGUUCCUGACACUGAGGCACGAAGGCCAGGGGAGCAAACGGG
rnacentral:rRNA from 1 species